ACUAAACCAAGGCCAUCAUUAUCGGGGAUCUUAAGUUGAUUUUUAAAGUAUUUAAGACUUAAAAAAAAAAAAACAAUUAACUUAAGCAAUGUAUCUUAAUUAAGGGACACAAGAUACGCCUCUUAGAAACACGCUUCGCGUUGAGAGAAAAAAAAAACAGUUUCAAGUCACAAAGAAAACCGUUUGUUGCUCUCCUCGACGACGAAGCAAAUCGUCGGUGGCUCUCUUCGACGAAGCAAAUCAUCGACUUGCCCGGAGUUCCAGACGACGCCGUCCGGUUUGAGAUGUGACUGCUGCGAGAUCACCGGCGUGGAUGCCAAGAUGAAAGGUUCUCAUUACCCCUCUUCCCACCACCACCACCUACGAAGAAGAAAAGAAGAUGUAGUAAGGGUUUGGUGAUUCGUGCGUCUUUGUUUGGCGUUGGAGCACCUGAGGCUUUGGUUAUAGAUUUGAAUGAAUUGAUGUUUUGGUAAUUCCAGAAAGUAGCAGCGUUAAUGUUAUAGCGUUAAUGUUAAAGUAGCAGCGUCAUGUUGUGAUUUAUGAAUAAUGGUCCUACAUUUUCAGGUU